rnacentral:rRNA from 1 species
UUGAUUAAUUACAAUUUUAUUCGCCAGGGGACUACGAGCGUAAGCUUAAAACCCAAAGGACUUGGCGGUGCCCUACACCUCCUAGAGGAGCCUGUUCUAUAAUCGAUGAUCCACGUUAUACCUCACCGUUUCUUGCCAAACCCGCCUAUAUACCGCCGUCUCCAACUUACCCUAUGAAGGAUUCACAGUAGGUUUAAAGAUUACUCAUCAGAACGUCAGGUCAAGGUGUAGCGAAUGAAACGGGAAGAAAUGGGCUACAUUUUCUACCUUAGAUCACACGGAUAAUCAAUAUGAAACCUGAUUAUGAAGGAGGAUUUAGCAGUAAAAAGAAACCAACAUGUUCUUUUUAAGUCGGACCUAGGGCGCGUACACACCGCCCGUCACC